CCCGCCCGGGAGCCGGGGCGUUUUGCUGGUUUGCUCAAUCCUGUGCGGGUUUGCAGGCCGGUCAGCCAGCAUGCGUGCUCUUGAGGUUGAAAAUUUUGGUCAGAAUCCCCAGGCAGAUUCACACAUUCCCACCAUCCCUCUGUCAGAUCAUAGAAUCAUUGAACAGUUUGGGUUGGAAGUGACCUUAAAGACAAUUUAAUUCCAACCCCAAAGCCACGGGCAGGGGCUCCUUCCCCUGGACCGGGUUGCUCAGAGCUGCAUCCGCCCUGGCCUUGACAGGAACGGGGCAGCCCCAGAGCCUCCGGGCAACCUGCUCCAGCGUACCACCACCCUCGCAGAGAAGGAUUUCUGCCUAACACCUAAACCUACUGAUAAAAACGAGAGCAGGCCCCAGGUACUAAAGUGAUUUCAGUGUUUAUUUUAAAGAAAAGGAAAGGCCUAAAGCAUGGGGGCCCUCGGGCCGAGCAGGAGCGUUCCCGUCGAGGAUGCUGCAGCGCCGGCGCUGGGUCUUCUUGAGCAGCGACGUAGCGAUGUCCCCGAUGUCCCAGAUGGAGCAGCACAAAAUUCUGUGGGUCAGAAGCCCCUUUUUAUCCUGUUUUUUGUCCCUUUGGAUUGGUUUCUUUUUGGAUCCUUUUUUGCAUGAAGGUUUAAGGCGCUUGAUUGGCCCCUUACAGUUCUGUCCAGGCUGCCUUGUUUCGCCUGUGGGGUGUGUUAUGGUACUACUUUUAACUACUCAUUUAACCCCUUUUACAACAUAACAACCAAACUAACAGUACAUGCUUAACGAUCUACCAACUAUUUUACAACAGUUUUUAACCUAUUUUUAACACUAUAUUUUUCAAUCUGAAGCCAUUCACCCUUUCUUAUCACUAAAGUUCCGGAUGAAGAGUCCCUCUCCACCUUCCCUGGAUGCCCUUUCACAUACUGAAGGCUGCUAUGAGGUCUCCUCUCCUCCAGGCUGAACAGCCCCAACUCUCUCAGCCUGUCUUUGUAGGAGAUGGUCUAGUCCCAGUCACACUGAUAAAUGGCUGAAUAUCUGUUGUGUGGGGCUUGAAAGGCUUGAAGAAACAAGCGGGGAAGAAUUUGUUUUCAAAGAUGAUCUUAAAAAGAAACAUCUUCAAAGGAAAAGGUAGAAACUCUCUGCAAGAAGAAGGAGAUGCUUCUUUACCCCAGUCUCCCUUUUGAAUGUCAAAUCUAAGGGUGAGAAUGGGAUGCAAUCAAAAGGGGUGAUUGCCAUUAGUAUUGAUAUACCAGAGUUUGCUUUUCAAUCAGUGCCUUUGGAUCUGAGGAGAGUUUGUGAAAAUUUUAUCAGCCUUUAUGCAACCUUACCAUUGGGCAAGAUGCUGUUUGAGUACCUGAGUAUAAUCUUUAUGUCACCUAAUUAUAGAAAACAACUCUAGAAGGGACCCUGACAAGUCCUCCAGUCCUUCUUUCACUGCUCUUCAUCUUAAACCAGUCUCACUUGUUCCUGAAAACCAGUGUCAUGAGGUCUCCAGAGUCACCUUGUGCAAUAAUUUCCAGUGCCCUAAUCUCUUUCUAUCAGCACUUUCUUUAUUGUCUAACCUAAAUAUCCCUUUAUGUUACUUUUUGUCCACAGUGAAUGCAAAGGGCCAUGUAUCAUUGCAGUGCCUUGUAAGAAUUUCUCAUGUACAUGAAAACUGUUAGUGCGUCUCUUUUCUCUCUUCUUUAGGGAUGAACCUCCAACAGUAGCACAAAGAGAAAUAAUGACAACAAAAACAACCACGAGGUCCAAUUUGCAGAUAUGUCCUUGCAAGUUAUCUACAUUGUGUAUUUUAUUCCCUCACCCUGCGAUAAACAUAGACCAGUAAUCUGAAUUAGAGAGGCUUCUGUGUGAUUCCCCUGCCAGAGCUGUUUCUGCCGCGGGCAGAGCUGGGGCGGCCCGGGCUGGGGCGGGCGCGGCGGCGGCAGAACCGCGGGCCGCUGGUGCCACCUGGUGCCAGCCCUGCCCGCACCGGGACGGGCCGGGAUGCCUCGGGAG